GGGUUGUGAGGUUAAGCGACUAAGCGUACACGGUGGAUGCCCUGGCAGUCAGAGGCGAUGAAGGACGUGCUAAUCUGCGAUAAGCGUCGGUAAGGUGAUAUGAACCGUUAUAACCGGCGAUUUCCGAAUGGGGAAACCCAGUGUGUUUCGACACACUAUCAUUAACUGAAUCCAUAGGUUAAUGAGGCGAACCGGGGGAACUGAAACAUCUAAGUACCCCGAGGAAAAGAAAUCAACCGAGAUUCCCCCAGUAGCGGCGAGCGAACGGGGAGCAGCCCAGAGCCUGAAUCAGUGUGUGUGUUAGUGGAAGCGUCUGGAAAGGCGCGCGAUACAGGGUGACAGCCCCGUACACAAAAAUGCACAUGCUGUGAGCUCGAUGAGUAGGGCGGGACACGUGGUAUCCUGUCUGAAUAUGGGGGGACCAUCCUCCAAGGCUAAAUACUCCUGACUGACCGAUAGUGAACCAGUACCGUGAGGGAAAGGCGAAAAGAACCCCGGCGAGGGGAGUGAAAAAGAACCUGAAACCGUGUACGUACAAGCAGUGGGAGCACGCUUCGGCGUGUGACUGCGUACCUUUUGUAUAAUGGGUCAGCGACUUAUAUUCUGUAGCAAGGUUAACCGAAUAGGGGAGCCGAAGGGAAACCGAGUCUUAACUGGGCGUUAAGUUGCAGGGUAUAGACCCGAAACCCGGUGAUCUAGCCAUGGGCAGGUUGAAGGUUGGGUAACACUAACUGGAGGACCGAACCGACUAAUGUUGAAAAAUUAGCGGAUGACUUGUGGCUGGGGGUGAAAGGCCAAUCAAACCGGGAGAUAGCUGGUUCUCCCCGAAAGCUAUUUAGGUAGCGCCUCGUGAAUUCAUCUCCGGGGGUAGAGCACUGUUUCGGCAAGGGGGUCAUCCCGACUUACCAACCCGAUGCAAACUGCGAAUACCGGAGAAUGUUAUCACGGGAGACACACGGCGGGUGCUAACGUCCGUCGUGAAGAGGGAAACAACCCAGACCGCCAGCUAAGGUCCCAAAGUCAUGGUUAAGUGGGAAACGAUGUGGGAAGGCCCAGACAGCCAGGAUGUUGGCUUAGAAGCAGCCAUCAUUUAAAGAAAGCGUAAUAGCUCACUGGUCGAGUCGGCCUGCGCGGAAGAUGUAACGGGGCUAAACCAUGCACCGAAGCUGCGGCAGCGACGCUGAUGCGUUGUUGGGUAGGGGAGCGUUCUGUAAGCCUGCGAAGGUGUGCUGUGAGGCAUGCUGGAGGUAUCAGAAGUGCGAAUGCUGACAUAAGUAACGAUAAAGCGGGUGAAAAGCCCGCUCGCCGGAAGACCAAGGGUUCCUGUCCAACGUUAAUCGGGGCAGGGUGAGUCGACCCCUAAGGCGAGGCCGAAAGGCGUAGUCGAUGGGAAACAGGUUAAUAUUCCUGUACUUGGUGUUACUGCGAAGGGGGGACGGAGAAGGCUAUGUUGGCCGGGCGACGGUUGUCCCGGUUUAAGCGUGUAGGCUGGUUUUCCAGGCAAAUCCGGAAAAUCAAGGCUGAGGCGUGAUGACGAGGCACUACGGUGCUGAAGCAACAAAUGCCCUGCUUCCAGGAAAAGCCUCUAAGCAUCAGGUAACAUCAAAUCGUACCCCAAACCGACACAGGUGGUCAGGUAGAGAAUACCAAGGCGCUUGAGAGAACUCGGGUGAAGGAACUAGGCAAAAUGGUGCCGUAACUUCGGGAGAAGGCACGCUGAUAUGUAGGUGAAGUCCCUCGCGGAUGGAGCUGAAAUCAGUCGAAGAUACCAGCUGGCUGCAACUGUUUAUUAAAAACACAGCACUGUGCAAACACGAAAGUGGACGUAUACGGUGUGACGCCUGCCCGGUGCCGGAAGGUUAAUUGAUGGGGUCAGCGCAAGCGAAGCUCUUGAUCGAAGCCCCGGUAAACGGCGGCCGUAACUAUAACGGUCCUAAGGUAGCGAAAUUCCUUGUCGGGUAAGUUCCGACCUGCACGAAUGGCGUAAUGAUGGCCAGGCUGUCUCCACCCGAGACUCAGUGAAAUUGAACUCGCUGUGAAGAUGCAGUGUACCCGCGGCAAGACGGAAAGACCCCGUGAACCUUUACUAUAGCUUGACACUGAACAUUGAGCCUUGAUGUGUAGGAUAGGUGGGAGGCUUUGAAGUGUGGACGCCAGUCUGCAUGGAGCCGACCUUGAAAUACCACCCUUUAAUGUUUGAUGUUCUAACGUUGACCCGUGAUCCGGGUUGCGGACAGUGUCUGGUGGGUAGUUUGACUGGGGCGGUCUCCUCCUAAAGAGUAACGGAGGAGCACGAAGGUUGGCUAAUCCUGGUCGGACAUCAGGAGGUUAGUGCAAUGGCAUAAGCCAGCUUGACUGCGAGCGUGACGGCGCGAGCAGGUGCGAAAGCAGGUCAUAGUGAUCCGGUGGUUCUGAAUGGAAGGGCCAUCGCUCAACGGAUAAAAGGUACUCCGGGGAUAACAGGCUGAUACCGCCCAAGAGUUCAUAUCGACGGCGGUGUUUGGCACCUCGAUGUCGGCUCAUCACAUCCUGGGGCUGAAGUAGGUCCCAAGGGUAUGGCUGUUCGCCAUUUAAAGUGGUACGCGAGCUGGGUUUAGAACGUCGUGAGACAGUUCGGUCCCUAUCUGCCGUGGGCGCUGGAGAACUGAGGGGGGCUGCUCCUAGUACGAGAGGACCGGAGUGGACGCAUCACUGGUGUUCGGGUUGUCAUGCCAAUGGCACUGCCCGGUAGCUAAAUGCGGAAGAGAUAAGUGCUGAAAGCAUCUAAGCACGAAACUUGCCCCGAGAUGAGUUCUCCCUGACCCUUUAAGGGUCCUGAAGGAACGUUGAAGACGACGACGUUGAUAGGCCGGGUGUGUAAGCGCAGCGAUGCGUUGAGCUAACCGGUACUAAUGAACCGUGAGGCUUAACCUUACAACGCCGAAG
rnacentral:rRNA from 1 species